rnacentral:lncRNA from 1 species
CCACCACAAACCAAACAAUAAAAAUCUCCUUUUUUACUAUUGGUCUGGUAAUAUUCCCUCAAGCCAACAUCUUCAGCAAACACUUUCUCAAAGAACUUAUACUGUUCAGAUUCUUCACAAUUUUCUCCAAACUCAUCUUCUCCUUCAUCCUCAUCUUCAUCUUCAAUAACAUCCUCAUCACUGUCAGAACCAACUUCGGGAGCUAAGAACUUUUGGCAAGCAUCUAUUGCGUUGUGCUGCAAAUGCAAAACUGACAUAAUCGCUUCCUCAUUCCCCACAAGAGAAUAAGGGUAAGAACAUGGUUUAGUGUUGAAGGCCGGCCAUCCUGAAGCUGUUGAAGAUAAUCCACCAUCAGGACUUUUGCAAACCCAUUCAGCAUCAGAAAUCACAUAUUCAUGAGUUACCUACAUUGAUAUUUCAUUACUAAUCAGAAGUAAAACAUCAAAGAGAAUCAUGGGAUAUAAAGGUGACAUUGUGGUUAGGACGGGGAGUUAAAGAGUGAAGUGAUAAGGUGGUCGAGGGUUUGAUCCCCAGUUCCCCACUCCCGACAUAACACUAAGUUACUAUCAAAGUAACAAUACCAACAUUUUCUAUUUAAAAAAAAAAAUGAUAACCGAGACUUCUAAGCUAGCAUACAAGCACUAACAAUACUACUAUUCCUCUGCUAUUCCAAUUUACAACAAAAUUGGAGUGCAGCUCACAAAUAACAGGUGCCAAUAAUAGCCAUGAAUGAAAGAGAUAAAACUUCAAUUCAAUUGACACUAGCAGGAUAACAAUCGAGUUCCGUGCAUCUUGUAACUAUUUCUUUACUAGCAGAAAAAUAAUUUUAGAAUUAACCAGAAGAUGAAGGAUCUUACAUUUUACCUAAACUACCAUAUAAUACAGAUAAUUUAGUCUAUAAAUACAGUAAUCAGCUGACAAGAAAAGCAUCAAGGCGGUAGCAUUAUCACAAUGACUAUAUUAUCCAACCAAGAAACAUGCACAUAAAAUAAAAAUUUUAAUUGAAAAGGAAACAAGAGAAAAUAAUAAGAGAUUAAGAGGAAAUAUAUCAUUGUAUUCAGCGUUUAUAAUUUGAGAUAGACCACAAUUGUUUUACCUCAACUAACUUUCCUCCAUUUUCUGAACUCAAAUCCAAUGCUCUUUCAUCUGGAAUCUCACCUUCCUUCAAAGAAUUCUGCAUGCACAACAAUCAAUAGAAAACUUACAUUAAAAUUUCAAACCAUGCCAAAUUAGUUUUUUCCCCUCAAAAGGGUGCAUAGAACCUCAUACACAAAAAUUAAUAAAAAAAAAUGAACCUCAGUAACAGUGUGAUGAAGCCCUUUUAAAGCAUCUCACUUAUGAUACUUACAUUUUGGUCAUCAACAUCACUUGCAGCAGCAGGUUUUCCAGGUUCAACCUGCAAAAAUGAAUACAACCUAAUAAGCAAUAAUGAGGUAUUUAUAAACUUGAAAUAUAUAUUAUAGAUAUAUUAAUGAUGAUUGUUCACCAAAAGCUCCCUUGAAGCUGUUAAGGAGGAAUUCAAAUCCUUCAACACAAUAGCUGGUAACUGAUUAAUGUCCCAACCAACAACUUUACAGACAACUUGUGCAUAAGCCCUGUGAGCUCGCAUCCUUUUCGUCCUUAGUACAGUAGUGGAAUGCUGAAUCAGUGCAACACAAUCCUUAAACCUCUUCCACAUUUUCUUCUUAACACCACCACAAACCAAACAAUAAAAAUCUCCUUCUUUACUAUUGUUCUCGUAAUAUUUCCUCAAGCCA